rnacentral:piRNA from 1 species
ACGCUGGACUUUGAAGAGUUCUGUUGGUGUU